AGUGUUGAAAUAAGAGGGUGUACCGGUAUGCACUGUCUUAUGGAGCUUUCAGGAGGGGUUGUGCAGCGAUACCUCAAACCGGUGUAGGCUAUAGCCGAAUGAAAAUGCUCU
rnacentral:sRNA from 1 species